CUUGGUCAUUUAGAGGAAGUAAAAGUCGUAACAAGGUUUCCGUAGGUGAACCUGCGGAAGGAUCAUUAUCGAAAUUAUUGGUGAGGGUUGUAGCUGGCCUUUCGAGGCAUGUGCACGCUCGAGCCCUUAAUCCACUUUACACCUGUGCACUUAAUGUAGGUCGCCCUUAAAAAAGGUGACCUAUGUCUUAUCAUCAACCCAUCGUAUGUCUCAUAGAAUGUAAUCGAUAUCCUCGCCCUAAAAAAGCGUUGAUAAACUUAUACAACUUUCAACAACGGAUCUCUUGGCUCUCGCAUCGAUGAAGAACGCAGCGAAAUGCGAUAAGUAAUGUGAAUUGCAGAUUUUCAGUGAAUCAUCGAAUCUUUGAACGCACCUUGCGCUCCUUGGUAUUCCGAGGAGCAUGCCUGUUUGAGUGUCAUUAAAUUCUCAACUCCAAGGGUUUCACGACCUUUCGGAGAUUGGACUUGGAGGUGCUGGCCGCAUAUUGGUCGGCUCCUCUCAAAUGCAUCAGCGGAAUUCAACCUUUGGCUUCCGGAUGUCAGUGUGAUAAUCAUGUUGCGCUGUCGUUUGAUCCCUCAGAGUCCGCUUAUAAUGGUCUUCGGACAAAAUCAUCAUCAAAUUUGACCUCAAAUCAGGUAGGACUACCCGCUGAACUUAAGCAUAUCAAUAAGCGAGA
rnacentral:rRNA from 1 species